rnacentral:tRNA from 1 species
GGGGAUAUAGCUCAGUUGGUAGAGUGCUUGCCUUGCAUGCAUGAGGCCCUGGGUUCAAUCCCCAGCACCACCA